GUGCUUACUUCAGCAGCACACACACUAAAAACUGGAAUAAUACAGAGAAGAUUAGCAUGACCCCUGCAUUCGAAUGACACACAAAUUCAUGAAGCAUUUUAUAUUUUU
ensembl:snRNA U6 U6 spliceosomal RNA